CCAGCACUAAUGCACCGGAUCC
rnacentral:snRNA from 1 species